CAGUAGCCGCGGUAAUACGUAGGUGGCAAGCGUUGUCCGGAAUUACUGGGCGUAAAGCGUGCGCAGGCGGUUUUGUAAGACAGGCGUGAAAUCCCCGGGCUCAACCUGGGAAUGGCGCUUGUGACUGCAAAGCUAGAGUGCGGCAGAGGGGGAUGGAAUUCCGCGUGUAGCAGUGAAAUGCGUAGAUAUGCGGAGGAACACCGAUGGCGAAGGCAAUCCCCUGGGCCUGCACUGACGCUCAUGCACGAAAGCGUGGGGAGCAAACAGGAUUAGAUACCCCAGUAGUCCCUGUCUCUUAUAA
rnacentral:rRNA from 1 species